rnacentral:tRNA from 1 species
GGCUUUAUAGUCAAUAUUUAUGAUAUUAGAUUGCAAAUCUAAAGUAGUAUAAUUACUAAAGCUU